CGGAACUACAGACCCAUCACCCAGGACCAUAAGUAUACACCUUUGAAGACUUUGGCUUCAACUCCUGACUGGUUGGUCAGAGAAAUACUGAAACCCCACCUCAUUAAAUACCUGAUGGAUAGAACCAAAAAGUGGAUCCUCUACUACCAAGUCUCAAGAGAUGAUUCAGCAUGUGUUUAAUGAACAAUGCUUGAAGCACUGCACACAGAGAAAGCAUCCAUAUUCAUAGGAAGUGUGAAUUCCAGUAUGGACAGAAAACUGGAAGCAGUCCAGUGUGGUCAACCCACCACCAGGUAGCUCACUGAACUCCUCUGGGACAGGUGACAUGUCAGGAACUUAGUGUUGCUGUCCAUUGCUGGAAAAGUGGACUCUCGUCCCUGAAGCUGCAGUUGAAGUCACCACUUGGCUAAGCUUGUGAUAAUCCACUGUCUUUCUCCAAGAUCCAUCUCUCUUCUACACAGGCCGAAUAGAAGUAUAGAAUGGGGAUUCCUGGGAAACAAUUCCCCUAAAUCUUUCAACUCCUUGAUAGUGGCACAAAUCUCUUCAAUCUCUCCAGUUACAAUGCCAAAACUGGAUAGAUUAAAUUCAUCAUUGGAGCUCUGGACCACUCUCCCAGGACUCUAAGUGUGCACCUUUGAAGACUUUAUCUUCACAUCUGAUUGAUCAAGGAUACUUUGAAAGAACGCUACAAGAUCUCCUUUUGCAUCUUCCUGUAAG